AACUCUUAAGUUUCAAGAUUUGU
rnacentral:snRNA from 1 species